UUUGACCUCAAAUCAGAUAGGACUACCCGCUGAACUUAAGCAUAUCAAGCG
rnacentral:rRNA from 1 species